CCUUUUGCAGUGGGACGGCGCUCGACCGCUCUGGCAAGAAGCCAUGCCGCCGCCAGCCACAGUCGCCCCCUCGGCGGCCCUCCGCCGCGAGGACCUCCUCCGAGUCGCCGCCCCGCUCCGCUCCCUGCUCUCCGCGGCGCCCUACGCGCCCCCCGAGGGCUCCGACACCUCCGUGAAAUCCCUCCUCGCCUCACUCCUCCCGUCCCCCUCUGAACCCCCGACGGGCGGGGCCGGCAAGGAGGCCGUGGACCUGCUCCUCUUCUGCGCCGCCGCCCGCGCUGCCUCCGCCGAGGCCCCCGCGCUGCACUGGGUCCCGGAGGGGCUCUCCAGGGCGGCCGCCGCCGCCAUGGAGGAGAUGGCGGCGAUGGGCGGGUGGGGUGGUGUCCCGGAGAUGUUGGUCGCCAUGAUGCCGGAGGCGUUGCCGCCGCUGAAGGCCGUGCUGAAGGACACGGGCGUGGACGCCAAUGAUGAUAUGAUGAUGAUUGGCGCCGUGAAGCCGCCCAAGGAGCACGCCUUUGUCGCCGCGCACCAGUUCCGGUGGCUGUUGUCUCAGGUUAAUUACCCGAAGCUCGGGGAUUUGUGCUGGUUAGUCAUUCCAUGUGCUUUGACGGCAUUGGAUCAUUGGCCUCUACAAAGGAGAUUGUUGCUACACAACAAACUCAAAUUGAGGCUCAACAAUCUCAACUUGAAGCUCAACAGAAGAAGAUCGAUUGGCUACAAAAUGUCGUGUCUAACUUGGUUGGCAUUUCACCUCCUAUGGACGGCACUGCUGCAACAGGGCUAGGUUUCACAACUGAGCGGCCAAUACCAUCUGACGGAAUAGGUUCGCUGAUGUCUAACACUGUACAAAGGAUGUCAAGUUUUCCAAGAUCAUUUGCAAGUCAUUUGAGGCCAGGAUAUAGACCUACUCCAACUUCUUCUGAUGGAAAUGGCUCUCUGGUGUCGGAUGGAGGGUCUAGGUAUUCAUGAUCAGUGCUACCUUCAUUUUAUGUUGGAGAUGACCUUGGAGGAGCAGCGGAAAGCAAUACUCGAGCUAAAGACCGAGAAGAGAAAACUAUUGCCUCUGCAUUUCUUGCACAUCUAGUAGACUAUGUUGGAUCUAAAGAAAAUUCAGUGUACACAUGCUAAAUGUAAUGUUUGGAUCAUAUUAGGGUUUACUGAUUGGAUCAUAUGUUCAGAUCAGUACUAAAGAUGGUACUGUACUUUGCAAAUGCUAGAGUGGUAUUUCCUACUUGCGAAACAAAAUUCAGAUUAGCAUGUAAUGUUUGGAUCUUAA